AUUGAACGCUGGCGGCAGGCCUAACACAUGCCAGUCGAGCGGAUGAAGGGAGCUUGCUCCUGGAUUCAGCGGCGGACGGGUGAGUAAUGCCUAGGAAUCUGCCUGGUAGUGGGGGAUAACGUCCGGAAACGGGCGCUAAUACCGCAUACGUCCUGAGGGAGAAAGUGGGGGAUCUUCGGACCUCACGCUAUCAGAUGAGCCUAGGUCGGAUUAGCUAGUUGGUGGGGUAAAGGCCUACCAAGGCGACGAUCCGUAACUGGUCUGAGAGGAUGAUCAGUCACACUGGAACUGAGAAACGGUCCAGACUCCUACGGGAGGCAGCAGUGGGGAAUAUUGGACAAUGGGCGAAAGCCUGAUCCAGCCAUGCCGCGUGUGUGAAGAAGGUCUUCGGAUUGUAAAGCACUUUAAGUUGGGAGGAAGGGCAGUAAGUUAAUACCUUGCUGUUUUGACGGUACCAACAGAAUAAGCACCGGCUAACUUCGUG
rnacentral:rRNA from 1 species